CACACUGAAACAGAAACAAGUAUUUAUGAAUUAUUAAUGAUUCCAGCACAAAUAAUGUGAAUAUUUACAAUCUACGACAGGUUGUCCGGACUGGUUUGAGUUUCUUGGAGAUCUUUUACUUCAUGUAAAUGGCUUCUUCAGUUCUAACUUGCGAGUGAGUCACUUCUCCAGUUACUAGCAUCCCUACCCUAGCAGUAGCAUUCUUACGCCUUGUUUCUACGUAGUUUUGCUCCGUUCCAUAAAUCUGUACAAUAUUUGGACUGUGCCCCCUGGUGUUCAACAUAGUGAAAUGCAUUUUAUUUCAGAUGGAUAGAAACUUCACCCCAGCCAUGAGGGAGGCUAAUUAGAUGCUAAUCGGUUAUUAGCUUCUAGUUUUAUGGAAUAUGUGCAUGAAGCAUGAUUGCUACUAAAACAGAACAAUAAUAUAUGAAGAGAAACAAGUGAGGAGGUUUUCCUGCCACAUGUGGACCUGUUUAGGGAAAUAUUUUGUUAUGGGAUGCAUGUUUGUUCUCUGUAUGUUACACAGCUAGCAUGCGUUAAACUAGCUAAAUGAGGGUGUUUUGUCAUCACACAUUUACAGGAUAUGAAUGUCAACAUAGUCAAACAACUAAGUAGCACUUUAGCCUGCUAGCUUGUUAAUUCUUCCAACUUCCUGGUUCACCAAGUUCAGCCUCUCCAUAAUCUGCAGCAGGAGUUUUACAAACACAUCGGAGAUCACGGAGGCUCUAACAGGAAUGACUGGAGUUCUGCUUGAUUCGUAUACGACCUCAAAACUAAACUAGGCGUCAGGCUAUUUCAGUUGUCGCUCCAUCAGACUACAGUAUAUUAUCUAGUAAUUAUGAGGAAACUAUCUCAGGAUCCUGUUAUGUCGACUGCUAACCUACCUAAUUUUCCAAAAUGUAAACAACUACUGGCUAAAAAAUAAAACAGUAGUAAUCAUGGCAGCAGUAUGCUUGGUGUUUCUUAUAAAACACAUCUGUUCAUGUACAAAUAGGGACGUUUAAGCUUUUUCUUUAAAUGAUGAGAUUGUAAGUUUUGACUGUUAGCCUGGAGAUGCUAGUUGCUAAUGUAGGGAUGCUAGUGAAGUGGACUCUACAUUCAGUGGGUUGUCAAGGUAACAGUGUACAUUUAGCAUGAGAGCACUCUUUUUUUUUUUUACCUGAGAAUAUUAGCACAGCAGAUUUUUUACACAAACUUUAGCGAGAGUUUUAGUGAUUACCACCAAAGAUUUGUACAUUUUUAUAGUAGUCUGCACCAUUUUUGUUCUAUUUUGACGGCUUUUGCUUUGUGAAAUUGUCAAAACAAGAGGUUAAAGUUGAUGAAGGGACUCUUAUCCGUUUACCUGCAGUCGUCUCCUCCUGUGCUGAUCACAUAUUUGUCAUCAUGGGAGAAACGGAUGUUGGUCACAUGAGCCGAGUGGCCGAGGUAGCGCUUGUGUUUGGCCUAAAGACAGGAACCAAACAGCAAUACUUCAGUUCAGCGUCGCUUCUUUUAACUUCAAAUUGUCCAAGUUUGUUUUUGUAAACUGGAGUCAACCCUGGUUCUUCUUCAAGAAAUCCAAUUGUAUCAAUGCUAAUCAUGAAAAUUCUCGCCUCUUAAUUGAAAAAGAAAUUGCAAAUAUCAUGUUUUACUGUCAGAUACUCACAAACUUCUCUGUGCAGGGGAAGUCGAACAGUUUGACCAACCCGAAGUCGUCGCCGGUGACGACGUUCAGGCCGGCGUGAGACACACAGGCACAGUUCACGUCGGCUUUGUCGGCGUUUCGCGGCCAAAUACCCAAAACUUCAUCUCCCAGGACGCUGAAAAAGACAUGGCGAAAAGUUACCGUCUGAAACAUGCAGAUCCUACCGGAGGUCCUGGACGGCAGCGCUGCGAUCUCGUUUCUUCGCCCACAUCUUGAGCGAGUUGGCGAGGAGGAGGAGAAACUCGCCGUUCUUCAUCCCGACCGCCAGCAUCUCUCCAUCUGCGCUGUAGCUCACACAGCGAGCUGCAUGGCCGACACACACUUUGUUCAACAGUUUCUAAGAGAAAGACGGAAAAAAGACAGGAAGAUUUUAAAACUAGACUUCUUAUAAUCCUUCAGGUUUAAACAUCCUCCAGAAACACUGGACAUGAUAUCUAAACAAAGUCGUAUCAGAAAGUAUUCAGACACCUUCAGAUGACGUUUGUUACAACUUUGUAAGGACGUUUUCAUGGUAUUUCGGACGACAUACUAAACUAUGAUGUUUUUGUGACAUUGUGGACCACAUACUAAACUAUGACGUUUUUGUGACAUUUUGGACGACAUACUAAACUAUGACGUUUUUGUCACUUUCCGACCACAUACUGAACUAUGACGUUCUAUCCACAUUUUGGACUACAUACUAAACUGACUUUUUUUUUGUCAUAUUUCGAACGACAUACUAAACUAUGACGUUUGUCACUUUCGGACCACAUACCAAACUAUGACGUUUUUGUCACAUUUCGGACCACAUACUAAACUAUGACGUUUUUAUGGUAUUUCGGACGACAUACUAAACUAUGACGUUUUUAUGGUAUUUCGGACGACAUACUAAAUUAUGACGUUUUUGUCACAUUUCGGACCACAUACUGAACUAUGACGUUUUAUCCACAUUUUGGACUACAUAUGACGUUUUUGUCACAUUUCGGAUGACAUACAAAACUAUGACGAUUUGUGACAUUUCGGACGACAUACUAAACUAUGACGUUUUAUCCACAUUUCGGACGACAUACUAAACUAUGACGUUUUUAUGGUAUUUCAGACGACAUACUAAACUAUGACGUGUUUGUCACAUUUCGGACGACAUACUAAACUAUGACGUUUUUGUGACAUUUUGGACGACAUACUAAACCAUGACGUUUUAUCCACAUUUCGGACGACAUACUAAACUGACUUUUUUUUGGUCAUAUUUCGGACGACAUACUAAACUAUGACGUUUGUCACUUUCGGACCACAUACCAAACUAUGACGUUUUUGUCACAUUUUGGACCACAUACUAAACUAUGAUGAUUUAUCCACAUUUUGGACGACAUACUAAACUAUGACGUUUUUAUGACAUUUCGGACGACAUACUAAACUAUGACGUUUUUAUGGUAUUUCGGACGACAUACUAAACUAUGACGUUUUUGUCACAUUUCGGACCACAUACUAAACUAUGACGUUUUUGUCACAUUUCGGACGACAUACUAAUCUAUGACGUUUUUGUCACAUUUCGGACCACAUACUAAUCUAUGACGUUUUUGUCACAUUUCGGACCACAUACUAAACUAUGACGUUUUUAUCACAUUUCGGACCACGACGUUUUUGUCACAUUUCGGACCACAUACUAAACUAUGAUGUUUUAUCCACAUUUUGGACCACAUACCAAACUAUGAUGUUUUUGUCACAUUUUGGACAACAUACUAAACUAUGACGUUUUUGUGGUAUUUUGGACGACAUACUAAACUAUGAUGUUUUUGUCACAUUUCGGACGACAUACUAAACUACGUCUUUGUCACAUUUCGGACGACAUACUAAACUAUGACAUUUUUGUCACAUUUCCCACCACAUACGAAAUUAUGACGUUUUUGUCACAUUUCGGACCACAUACUAAACUAUGACGUUUUUCUGGUAUUUUGGACGACAUACUAAACUAUGACGUUUUUUUCACGUCAGACGACAUACUAAACUAUGACGUUUUUGCGGUAUUUCGGACGACAUACUAAACUAUGAUGUUUUUGCGGUAUUUCGGACGACACUAAACUAUGACGUUUUUGUCACAUUUUGGACGACAUACUAAACUAUGACGUUUUUGUCACAUUUCGGAUGACAUACUAAACUACGAUGUUCUUGUCACAUUUCGAACGACAUACUUAACUAUGACGUUUUUGUCACAUUUCGGACGACAUACUAAACUAUGACGUUUUUGUCACAUUUCGGACGACAUACAAAACUAUGAGGAUUUGUGACAUUUCGGACGACAUACUAAACUAUGACGUUUUUAUGGUAUUUCGGACGACAUACUAAACUAUGACAUUUUUGUCACAUUUCGGAUGACAUACUAAACUAUGACGUUUUUGUCACAUUUCGGACGACAUACUAAACUAUGACACUUUUGUCACAUUUCGGACCACAUACAAAACUAUGACGUUUUUGUCACAUUUCGGACCACAUACUAAACUAUGACGUUUUUGUCACAUUUCGGACCACAUACGAAGGUAUGAUGUUUUUGUCACAUUUCGGACCACAUACUAAACUAUGACGUUUAUCCACAUUUUGGACGACAUACUAAACUAUGAUGUUUUUGUCACAUUUUGGACGACAUACUAAACUAUGACGUUUUUGUGGUAUUUCGGACGGCAUACUAAACUAUUACGUUUUUGUCACAUUUUGGACCACAUACUAAAGUAUGACGUUUUUCCAGUAUUUUGGACGACAUACUAUGAUGUUUUUGCCAGAUUUCGGACGAAAUACUAAACUACGACGUCUUUGUCACAUUUCGGACGACAUACUAAGCUAUGAUGUUUUUCUGGUAUUUUGGACGACAUACUAAACUAUGACGUUUUUGUCACAUUUCGGACGACAUACUAAACUAUGACGUUUUUGUCACAUUUCAGAUGACAUACUAAACUAUGAUGUUUUUGUCACAUUUCGGACCACAUAUUAUACUAUGACGUUUUUCGCAACUUUUUGAAAGACAUACUGUGAUAGUUUACUGUGAUAGUAGAAACACAGUAAACCAAGUGUAGAAGCUGUGACGGUAGAAACACAGUAAACCAGACAUAGAAGCUGUUAUAGGAGAAACAGGCAGACCCUGAUCCAAGUGUCAUCUGGAAUGAAUCAUAUCGAGGUUAAUAACUGUCAUUAACAGGCUAUCUGCUGUUUUUCUUCUCUUAAAGGUUGCUUUGGUUUCCAGAAGACAGACACUCUCUGUCCAGAGUGGGGACACAGAAAGACUGCUUCAUCAACACGGCGCUGUGGCUGAACCAGCAUCUUUGAACAGAUGGAGGUUUAGAGGAGCUGAGGGCUGAACUACCAAGACAGAUUCAUUCAUAAACACUGAAGCCUAAAACCAAAGUUAAAGCUGUAAAACCUGCUGAGCUCUGCCUGACAGAUCCCGCUGAACAAAACCAGACUGUUACAGUCAGACAAUAACCUACAUGCAUUCAAUUAGUGAUUCAUAAAAAGUAUAAAUACAUUUAGAUUUUAUUACAACAGACCUGAUCUGCUGGUACCACAGUUAAUAGAACAGUUAGUAAAAUAUUCUCUCUGAUAAAUAUUAAUCAAUGACUAGUUUUUGGCCAAAUCAAAGUGAGAAUAAGUGAUUUUUAUUUCUGAUGGAGGUGAGGAAAUGAGGAAACUCUGUUAAAUGGGCUUCACAGUGCAACCCUCAGUUCUGCUGCUGAAAACUCUUAUAGGAGGACACAGCUGAGACACAAGAUUGCCUUUAAAAUCAAAUGCAACUAAUUUUGUGAAAAAUAAAAUAUGAGAGCAUGUAAUAAAGAAAAUCUUGACAACCAC